rnacentral:tRNA from 1 species
GCCGGGGUAGCUCAGCCUGGGAGAGCAUCCGGCUGAAGAACCUCGCAAGCGUGCGUAGACACCGGAGGGUCCCGGGUUCAAGUCCCGGCCCCGGCA